rnacentral:rRNA from 1 species
GGAUGAGUGGCGAACGGGUGAGUAACACGUGGGAAAUCUGCCUAGGAGUGGGGGAUAACAUUCGGAAACGGAUGCUAAUACCGCAUAUCUUCAUAGACCGCAUGGUCUAUGAAUGAAAGACGGCUUUGCUGUCGCUCUUAGAUGAUCCCGCGGCGUAUUAGUUAGUUGGUGGGGUAAAGGCCUACCAAGACCAUGAUACGUAGCCGACCUGAGAGGGUGAUCGGCCACACUGGGACUGAGACACGGCCCAGACUCCUACGGGAGGCAGCAGUAGGGAAUCUUCCACAAUGGGUGAAAACCUGAUGGAGCAAUGCCGCGUGAAUGAAGAAGGUCUUCGGAUCGUAAAGUUCUGUUAUUAGAGAAGAACAAGUCAAGGAGUAACUGUCUUGACUUUGACGGUACCUAACCAGAAAGUCACGGCUAACUACGUGCCAGCAGCCGCGGUAAUACGUAGGUGACAAGCGUUGUCCGGAAUUAUUGGGCGUAAAGGGAGCGCAGGCGGUUGGAAUAGUCUGAUGUGAAAGCCCACGGCUUAACCGUGGAAGGUCAUUGGAAACUGUCCAACUUGAAUACAGAAGAGGUAAGUGGAAUUCCAAGUGUAGCGGUGAAAUGCGUAGAUAUUUGGAGGAACACCAGUGGCGAAGGCGACUUACUGGUCUGUAAUUGACGCUGAGGCUCGAAAGCGUGGGUAGCAAACAGGAUUAGAUACCCUGGUAGUCCACGCCGUAAACGAUGAGUGCUAAGUGUUAGGGGGUUUCCGCCCCUUAGUGCUGGAGUUAACGCAUUAA